rnacentral:lncRNA from 1 species
AUGGAAGAAAAUGGAUUGAAGCCAAAUUACAAAGGCCCUGGUUGUUAUACUGAGGACUUCAGCCUUUAUUCUGGAUCAGUGGACUCCAGGUCUCACGGAAUGCUGAAUUUUUCGAGCACUCACCACAAGGUCUCAAGCCCCCGAGGACUACCAGGCAAAUUUCCAACAAAGCUGGGUUCACAACUGAGAAUUCCCAGUGUAUGGCACCACAAGGAAAAUAGCUGCAUUUGGAUAGUGACAUGGAGUGACUUAGUGGGAAUCCACCCCAGCUGUACCAUCACACCACUGCAUGUUCAGAAUCUCCCCUGCGGCAAUUGCCCAGCAGAUCUCUACCCUGUACGAGGACAGAACAUGCCUAUGGGCCAUUUACACUGA